ACGAACGCUGGCGGCAUGCCUAACACAUGCAAGUCGAACGAGACCUUCGGGUCUAGUGGCGCACGGGUGCGUAACGCGUGGGAAUCUACCCUCAGGUUCGGAAUAACUCAGAGAAAUUUGAGCUAAUACCGGAUGAUGACGUAAGUCCAAAGAUUUAUCGCCUGAGGAUGAGCCCGCUUAGGAUUAGGUAGUUGGUGAGGUAAAGGCUCACCAAGCCGACGAUCCUUAGCUGGUCUGAGAGGAUGAUCAGCCACACUGGGACUGAGACACGGCCCAGACUCCUACGGGAGGCAGCAGUGGGGAAUAUUGGACAAUGGGCGAAAGCCUGAUCCAGCAAUGCCGCGUGAGUGAUGAAGGCCUUAGGGUUGUAAAGCUCUUUUACCCGGGAUGAUAAUGACAGUACCGGGAGAAUAAGCGCCGGCUAACUCCGUG
rnacentral:rRNA from 1 species